rnacentral:rRNA from 1 species
AGAAGAUGACGAGUGGCGGACGGGUGAGUAAUGCUUGGGAACUUGCCUUUGCGAGGGGGAUAACAGUUGGAAACGACUGCUAAUACCGCAUAAUGUCUUCGGACCAAACGGGGCUUCGGCUCCGGCGCAAAGAGAGGCCAAGUGAGAUUAGCUAGUUGGUAAGGUAACGGCUUACCAAGGCGACGAUCUCUAGCUGUUCUGAAAGGAAGAUCAGCCACACUGGGACUGAGACACGGCCCAGACUCCUACGGGAGGCAGCAGUGGGGAAUAUUGCACAAUGGGGGAAACCCUGAUGCAGCCAUGCCGCGUGUGUGAAGAAGGCCUUCGGGUUGUAAAGCACUUUCAGUUGUGAGGAAAAGUUAGUAGUUAAUACCUGCUAGCCGUGACGUUAACAACAGAAGAAGCACCGGCUAACUCCGUGCCAGCAGCCGCGGUAAUACGGAGGGUGCGAGCGUUAAUCGGAAUUACUGGGCGUAAAGCGCACGCAGGCGGUUUGUUAAGCUAGAUGUGAAAGCCCCGGGCUCAACCUGGGAUGGUCAUUUAGAACUGGCAGACUAGAGUCUUGGAGAGGGGAGUGGAAUUCCAGGUGUAGCGGUGAAAUGCGUAGAUAUCUGGAGGAACAUCAGUGGCGAAGGCGACUCCCUGGCCAAAGACUGACGCUCAUGUGCGAAAGUGUGGGUAGCGAACAGGAUUAGAUACCCUGGUAGUCCACACCGUAACGCUGUCUACUAGCUGUGUGUGUCUUUAAGCGUGCGUAGCGAAGCUAA